rnacentral:rRNA from 1 species
GACAGAGGCCCCAAGCGUUAGGCGGAAUCACUGGGCUUAAAGCGUGUGUAGGCGGAUCGUUAAGUGUCUUGUGAAAUCCCACGGCUCACCCGUGGAACUGCUGGGCAUACUGGCGAUCUUGGGCCAACUAGGGGCAGCCGGAACAAGCGGUGGAGCGGUGAAAUGCGUAGAUAUCUGGAGGAACACCGGUGGCGAAGGCGGCAUCCUGGACCGGUAUUGACGCUGAGGCGCGAAAGCCAGGGGAGCAAACGGG